ensembl:lncRNA
GGCAUCUGCUCUGUGAGUAUGCCAGCAUAUCCUGUGGUGCUUGUCUGUAACAACAGCAAAUUGAAAGUUGAAAUUUCUUUUUAAGGAAGCUGGAUUAAAGGUUUUUCUUCUUCCCGUCUUAACUAUUUUUCAAAAUAAAGCCAUAGCUGUAGGGAUGCCAGAAAACUCAGUAAAACCUGCAGACUCGUACAGCCUCAGAACAGAUGCUGCUGGUUUGGAGUAGAAGGGAAGAAAGAAAGACCAGCAUGAAAGACCAGGAGAAAAAGAGGAAAAGGUUUGGAGGAGCUACAGUGAAAGAGGUGUAUGACAAUAAACGUUCCUCAGGACAACAUCGAGAAUAAAAGAAACAAUAUGUUUUCAACUACUCUGCAGGGCCAAAAGACGUUCCACCCUUUUUUAAAAUAAUGCAGCUUUCUCUACAGGAACAGAAGAUAUGUCUUUUUUCCUUCAGCUUGGAAAACUAUAAUUUUGAAGCUUGCAGCCUCAGCAGGGUUUGCAAGCAAGUUGAUCGCUGCUGGGGCAAGAGUGACCUCAGCUGGGAAGAACUGUGGGAAACCCGGCAAGGACUUGUUCCAAAACUAUGGAAGAAUGGGAGGGAGGUAGGGGAACCUCUAGUUUUUGCCAGAGCUAGGGUGAGAACUGGGCUCUGGGCAACACAGCACAGUGCAGAUGUCAGCACCACACCAAGCCAAGCACUCCGAGCACUGCCUGGACAUUGCAGAGGUUCAGCGAAUGACAAAGCUCUGUAAUCACAGGAGGAAAGCUGUGGGUCAGACACUAGGAGACGUGCACCCCUGUUCCAUGUGUGUAAAGUAGGACCUAUGCUCUUAACACACAAAUCAACCUAAGAAGCACUUGCUUAUAUAAGGACACCUGUAUUUCAUAGGUGUUAACAUCUGACCAGCUUUGCCUACAAAUUUCUGCUUAGCUUCCAGACUUUAAUUUGCAAGAUAGAAUCUUUGCUGACUAUGAUAAAUUAAUUAUUACAUUCCUAUCCCCUGAAACUAUUUUGUAAAUAUAGAAUAGCCUGAGAUUAUUGGUACCCAUUUUGUUUUUCACUGGAAUCACAUUUUCAAGAACUAUGCUUAUGGAUAAUAUACCAAUGUUAGUGUUUAGAGCAGGUAACUGAAAGGAUUUUUCUUUUGAAUGCCGUCUCAGACAGCUGCAAAAUUGCUGGGCGUUAUUAUUCAAAGUUUACACGUAGAAGUUAACCCUUCUUUUAAUGCUCAGUACAUUGCAACUACUUUUUCCUCAGUUUAUUCUGCUGAUUUUAGUUUGUGCAGAUUUAGAAUGCUUUUGAUAUAACAUCAUUUGUGUUACAGCUUAAUAACUGAAAGAUGUUGUUUUUUCUUAUGUGAUGUUUUUCCCUUAUGCAUCAUUCGUGCUUGUUCAACAGCGUUAGCAGUAGCUAACAAGCACUUCCUAGCCUGAACUGUCAAGUCAGGGAUUUUUGCAUUCUUUAUGCCUAGUUCAUACAUGCCAUUGAAUUGCUGAUACAUUCAUAAUGACUUUUUUUUUUUUCCCAGUUAAUUUUAAAAUUUCUGAGAAGAUAAACAAAUGCAUACACUUAAAUUCAGAGCAGGCUACUGAAGUUGAUGUUCUCUACCAUCUGGGAAAAGGACUCAUGGAUUAUACUGGGAGAUUUGUAGUGAGAGAUGCUUUUCUGGGAAAAUCUUAUUAAAAACAGAAACUGCUGAUUUCAGUACAUGAAUUUUCCAGUUGUUUUCCCAAAGCUGUUCUUCUGGGAACCCCUUAAUCAGUACUAUUUUUUAAUCAGUUUGUAUUUUUACCAGCUGUCAUCCCUAUUAAUAACACUUAUUUGAUUUUACGUAAAGUUUCUUGAUGUUCAGCUCUUUGCAGACCCUUUCAUGUCUACAACGCUGUUAAUCCUGCAGACAUGCCAAACAAAAGGAGCAAUUAUGUUCCUCAAAUUAUUCUGACUGGCAUACAUGCAAUGGUACGAAAAAUGGGGACAGACUGGAAAAUAAGAGGGAAGCCUUGAAACACUGAUACCCUCAGACAGCCCUGCGAUGCCAUCAAGAAACUCACCAGGUGUGCCUCUGUCUUCCAGUCAGGAAGAUCUUAGGCACCCUGCCUUGGUAUUUCAGAAAUCUGGUUAAAUAAUGUAUAUCAGGCCCAUUCUCUCACAAGAUCAUACAUUUCUUGUCUGCAUCCCAAAAAAAACAGAGAGAAUAGCCAGUCCUCUUUGUUUCCAUGGCAGUCGUGUGGGGAGAAGACUUUAAAAUGUCCAACAUAAAAUGUCUGCAGGUAAGUGAAUAUGUUUAUUCAGUGUAUGAACUGGAUAAUCUGUAAAUAUUCUAUCUACAGAAAAAAGCUGCAC